rnacentral:lncRNA from 1 species
CUAAGCUUCCGCUGUUACAUCUAAUGCUGAUUUACUCAGCUGUCUUUUUACCUGUCUCUGCCUGGGGAAAAGGAGCUGCUUUCAUUGAUGGUUAUUACGGAAGCACUUGGAAGCUGAAGAUCAGCCGGAGGACUCACUGCGCUUCCCCCCACUGCCUCCCCUCCCCCGACUUACUGCCAGAAACCAACUGACUUCCAAACUUGGCCGUCUGAAAAAGAAUGUUCUCUGAUUGGCAUUCCUGGAAGCAGAAAGCAAGGCAGCUCAAGUUUUGUUCUGUUACUCAGCAUGAAAAACUUCCCAGACAGCAGGAGGAGAGGGUGCACAAAUGCUUCCAGCUCCUUGUGAAGUCUUCUUUUCCAAGACUGUCGCGUGAACUUUGCCAUGCAACCUGGGGCAGGUCAAACUCCAAGGACCACUAUUUCCUUAUCUGUAAUG